CCACAAAGUGCACUGGCCGUAGACAAUGAACUGAAACAUUGGUGUAAUUUUAACAUGGCAAUGAGCAGGGGGGUGGAAUCAGUGCAGUGGAUGCUAAUUCACUUAAAUGCCUACCCUCUUGAUGGAAGAUGGGAAAUGCUUGGCCUAAAAAGAAAAGCCCUGGCGCAAAAAUGUGUGGACAGAAUCUUUUUCCAUUUUUCUGUGUUGGCAAACGUACAUGUCCAAACAUACAUUUUGUCAGCGGUAAAAAGGUGUAUUUCUAUGAGAAGCUUUGGAGGUGGAAUAGCGGCUUUUUUUUAGGCCCAACGAAGAGAAAUAAAUUGUUUCAUCUUCACACUGCAAUUCAUCACUAAGAGGUGUGAAUCUUCUUAGGGCCACAGAUCAGAGAAAAAAUCCACUCCCCACUGAGAGACAACGGAACGAUUUCCUAUCGGUUCCCAAGAUCCAAACGGUAGUCUGUACCUGUGGCCAGAGGGAAGGAGCUGGAAUUCGGGGUGGAGUGGAUGGGAUGAGUCAACUGCAGCUUGCAGAGAGGCGUCAACCAAUGAGAAGUCGGCGCCAGGCACGAGGAGGACGGGGCAUUCACAAGCGUUGAAUAAUAAUAAAAAAUGAGUCUCUCUCUGCUGCAUUCCCCUCCGCUAGAGGCUUGUCUAUGCCAUCAGAGAGGUGUAACUCUCUGGAGCAGCUGGCUCCUAUGGUAAACUGCAUCUCAAAGAGCACUGCUAUGAUUUGGUUGAAUAUGAUUUCUCAGAUCAUAGCAUCACAUUCUCUAGGACAUACUUAUUUUCCCCUAAUGUUUUUUAGAAAGAUUAAAAGUGGAUAUGGCACAAUUAAUAAAAUAAAGAACACUUCA
rnacentral:lncRNA from 1 species